GAUGAACGCUAGCUACAGGCUUAACACAUGCAAGUCGAGGGGUAACGAGAGGAAAGCUUGCUUUCCUUGUCGACGACCGGCGCACGGGUGAGUAACGCGUAUCCAACCUGCCCCCAACUAGGGAAUAACCUUUCGAAAGUAAGACUAAUACCCUAUAAUUUCCUCAGAUGUCAUCUGACGAUGAAUAAAGAUUUAUCGGUUGUGGAUGGGGAUGCGUCUGAUUCGCUUGUUGGCGGGGUAACGGCCCACCAAGGCAACGAGCAGUAGGGGUUCUGAGAGGAAGGUCCCCACCAUUGGAACGGAGACACGGUCCAAACUCCUACGGGAGGCAGCAGUGAGGAAUAUUGGUCAAUGGGCGGAAGCCUGAACCAGACAAGUAGCGUGCAGGAUGACGGCCCUAUGGGUUGUAACUGCUUUUAUACAGGAAUAAAGUUAGCCACGUGUGGUUAUUUGUAGGUACUGUAUGAAUAAGGACCGGCUAAUUCCGUGCCAGCCGCCGCCGUAA
rnacentral:rRNA from 1 species